UUACGACCAUAUCACCUUGAAAGGUCGGUUCUCGUAAGGUCAUCGAAGUUAAGCCACCUCUAGCCUGAUCACUAACGAGACGGGUGACCGCUUGGGAAUACCAAGUGCUGUAA